rnacentral:rRNA from 1 species
AUCAGUAGGGGUUCUGAGAGGAAGGUCCCCCACAUUGGAACUGAGACACGGUCCAAACUCCUACGGGAGGCAGCAGUGAGGAAUAUUGGUCAAUGGGCGAGAGCCUGAACCAGCCAAGUAGCGUGCAGGAUGACGGCCCUAUGGGUUGUAAACUGCUUUUAUAAGGGAAUAAAGUGAGUCUCGUGAGACUUUUUGCAUGUACCUUAUGAAUAAGGACCGGCUAAUUCCGUGCCAGCAGCCGCGGUAAUACGGAAGGUCCGGGCGUUAUCCGGAUUUAUUGGGUUUAAAGGGAGCGUAGGCCGGAGAUUAAGCGUGUUGUGAAAUGUAGACGCUCAACGUCUGCACUGCAGCGCGAACUGGUUUCCUUGAGUACGCACAAAGUGGGCGGAAUUCGUGGUGUAGCGGUGAAAUGCUUAGAUAUCACGAAGAACUCCGAUUGCGAAGGCAGCUCACUGGAGCGCAACUGACGCUGAAGCUCGAAAGUGCGGGUAUCGAACAGGAUUAGAUACCCUGGUAGUCCGCACGGUAAACGAUGGAUGCCCGCUGUUGGUCUGAAUAGGUCAGCGGCCAAGCGAAAGCAUUAAGCAUCCCACCUGGGGAGUA